rnacentral:misc_RNA from 1 species
GCUUCUCGCUACUCUCUAGGGUUUUCCCACUUCAUAACGCUCAGCCUCCUUAAGUCCCUUCCCUCGCUGUCUCCAUAGCAACCUCAUAUCCUUGCAGCCAUGUCAAAAAAGAAGACUAGAGAGCCAAAGGAAGAAAAUUUGACACUUGGACCUGCAGUCAGGGAGGGUGAGCAUGUUUUUGGAGUGGCACACAUCUUUGCAUCAUUCAACGACACAUUCAUUCAUGUGACUGAUCUCUC